UGGGAGCAUGGAAGAGUCUACACUCACUCAGAAGCUCCCACACCACCUGCCUGCCCCCCAAGCUAGCCCUCUGCUCCUGCUCCCCCAAGAACAGCCUCCCUCCCCAGGCUGCCCUGACCUCGGAGCCACUUGGAGUCGUGCUUGGCAGUGCGGAGCAGGGGCAGAGGCCCAAGGCUUCUGUAAACCACAGGGUCGCUGGCCUGGAAGUCUGUGUUCGUGGCUGAGUACAGGCUGCCCUCUGGGGACGGGGCAGGGGAGCCAUCAGGGUCUUCUGCCUCCUGAUAGGCUGCCCAUGCCCCUCCCUGGCCCCUCCCUCACCCUCCAUUCAGGGGCAGAGGAAGACCAAGCUGGCAGAGAAGCUAAGCCUCUCCCUGCUUCUCCCACGCCCAGGCUGGAAACGCGGGCAGGGAGCUGGGCAUGGUGGAGCACUUGGGCAGAGGCUAAGGCAGGGACCCUCUCCUCCCUCCUCACCGUCUGCUUUCCCCGAACGGCACAGUUCUCCACACCUUGGCUCCUCCAUGUCAGGUACUGAAGGGAGAGAUAAAAGAGGAGCUCGGGAGGCAUCCUGGGCCCCUCACAUUAUGGCUCUUUUCCAAUCCUUCCUCCUGCCCUUGGGCCCCUCAGGCCUCUCCCAUUCUCGUCCCCGCACCCACACCUCCUCCUGAACAGCCUCACCUUGCUGGGCACCAGCCCUUCCCCUUCUUCUUGGGCCUGAAGGUCAAAGAAGAAGAUGUGGUCCCUGCAGGGUAGGGAAGGAAGGGCCAGCGCUCAGCCAAGGCACCCCGUCCUCAGUCCCGCCUGAGGUCCCCUGUGCAGGGACAGCUGUGCAGCCCUCCUGCCCCUGGCCUUGUCCAUACUCCAUGCUUUGGCACUUGGGACCUAGGUCCAAGUGUGUCUGGGCCCCAAGGCUUGUGCAGCUGCAAGUGUCCCCUGCCAGGUGCUGCAGUGGCCACGCAGGUCCCAUGUCUUCCCAGGAGCAUGCUUAUCUGCCCCACAACUGUGCUGGCCAGUUUACCGGGCUGCGACCAGCAAGGUCCGGUUCAAGGUCAGGAAUCUCUGAAAGUCCAGCCCCAGGUCUGCAGCCACGGCAUCCUCCUCCAGCCCCCGGAACCAGGACAACGGGGAAGCACCUGGAGACAGAGAGAGGGCGGUGCUGAGGGCACAAGGGUACCACGCAGGCCCCGUGUCCUCUCCAACCGGGGGAAACCCCGCCGCGGACGGAGUGAAGAUGGAUGGCAGGAGGGGCCCAGCUAUUAAUAAAAAUAACACCUGGAACAGGAGCACCUAAUCCCUGCCGAGCACCAAGUUGCACUUUCGAUGCACCAUCUCAUUUCACAUUAACCCUGUGACGUCAGCUUUUCAGACAGCAGCCCGGGCAUCUGCAUUAGCUUGACGUGGCAGACACCAGUAUUUACACCUAGAUCUGCGGGACUCAAGAGUUGAGCUCGGUCCCCCUCCAAGGCUUCUGACCAAUUCCAGGAUCCACCUGGCUGGAUGCUGGAAACCUCAGCCCCAAUGUUCAAAGAGAGCCCAGAGCUCAGCGUGAUGCUGAGCAUUCACAAAGUGCUGAGAACUGUGAUGGCACCUGGAAGUGUUCACUUGUUUGUUUUUGUUGUUUUUUUUUUCGGUACCGAGGAUCCAACUCCGGACCUUUUGCUUGCAAGGCAGGUGCCAGAACCCGCUGAGCUAAAUCCCCAGUCAGUGUUCACUAUUCUUAUCAGUCCCCCAACAAUUUCUCCCAAUAAUCCACCCACACUUCCUCCACCCUGCAACUUCCUCCACUUCCUACAUGUAUAACAGGGACCUGCAAAUAGAUAAAGUUUUUCCCACAAAGGGAGGUUUAAAUUUUCUGUUGUGGUGGUACAAGCAGUAGAGGGGGAAGAGGUGUUGGGAACCACUGACCUGGUCCCAGGCCUUCACUUCGCAACUAAGAAUGAUAAACAAAUAUAAACCA